AAUCAAAGGCUCAAAAAAAAAGUAAAUGCGAAUAACAUCGUAAAAUUUGCUCGUAAGGAAGCCCUAGUAGCUGCCUAAUAGCCUCUUAUAGGUUCGAGCGUCUUUAGUCCGACUCCGUUAAGGGCUAGAGACCAACCCCAACGGAUGCUCUAGCAAGUGUUCUCUGGUUGGCUUGCUAGCUAAGACUUAAUCAGAGCAUCCUACGUUCGGGAUAAUGAACGAUUCCCGCCUUGAGGGUCAGAUAGGCUAAACCUGUGAAUGAGCGGGGGGUCAAUACCCAAUUUGGACAGCAGUUCGAUUCGGCUC
rnacentral:tmRNA from 1 species